UCAUUGGUCAGGUAAAUGGGUUAAGAACUUUAACCCUAACCCGAUAUGGAAAAAAUCAUGUGGACAUGAACCCAGCGCAUUUAAUAAUCGUGUUAAAUUUGAAGACCCAUAUCAAAUUUGACGACCCAUAUCCAUUUUUUCGUAUUGGAUAAUCGGAUCGUAUCAAAGUUUACCAGCUCUAGUGAAGAUAUCUAUGUAACUCACGAGAUUAAGAAAAAAAAGUUGUAAUUUUUUUUUUAAUAGAAGUAACUACAAGAUGUUUCGGAUCAUUUUUUUAAAAAAUAAAAGAAACAGGGGAUAAACGUGAAAAUUUUGCAAGAUCAUGUUGCCAUUAUAGUAAAAAACAUUAUCAUAACAAAGCAAUAAUUAAAAAACAUUAGCAUAUUUUGUAAUUAAUCUUGAAAUGUGGAUACAAAUUUAUGGUGGAAAAAAAGUUAGUGUCGGGUGGUGGAACUAGAAAAGGUUGGGGGGUGGGGCAAAUUAGAGAGGAAUGAUCAAUUAUAUUCAUACACGUAAUUGAUAUUAUAUUGAAAUUUGAUUGUUAGUUAUGAGAAUUGCUCUUGCUUUUUUGUUGGUUUUAUGGCUUGCAUUAUAACACUGUCUGUUCACAUUUUACCUGUUCUUGUCCCCCUUUUGAGGGUCCUUUAUUAAUCAAAUGGAAUGAUUAAGCUGCAUGCAAAUCCUGAAAAGAUUCAGUAAUCAUAUUCAGUCCAGCACUACACCAAAUUGAAAUAUCUAUUGAUAUAUGAUAAAUAAUAAUAAUAAUAAUAAUAAUAAUAAUAAUAAUAGCUAUCUAAUUAAUAAAUUAGCAUUACUAACACACAUAUCCGUUCAGAUUAAUAGUCAAAAUUGCAUAAGAAUGAUAUAAUUUAAAGUCAAACUUGUGUCAAUGCAGGAAUUUUUAGGAAUAUAUAUGUUAAAUUUAAAAGUUGGGAUGAUAAAACAAAUUAGGGGGACAAAUAUUACCGCUCCUGAAAACUCCAUUCAUGCAAAAGCGGGCAACGAUAGUCUUGGGGAGAGCGGACCUACAGGCUUUGAACGAACAAGAAACCCAUUAGUAUUUGGGCCUGCGAUGACAUCACCUCAGAUCCAUUUUGUCUAUGAGACAUAUCAAGCCCAUUAUGUUUAUCAAGAUCGCAAUGAAGGGGUUUCAGUUUCAAAAUUAUUCUUAUCCAAUUAGAAAAUAAAAUUGUUAAAUUUAAAAAGAUUAUGAUUAUUAUUUACAUUAAAAUAAAAAAAUAACUAAUAGAAUAAGAAACUGUUUUAGUUAUCAAUUAUUAUAUAUACGUAAUAAUAUAUAUAUAUAUAUAUAUAUAUAUAUAUAUAUAUAUAUAUAUUUAAUGAAUUUAAAAGAAAUUUUGUCAAAUGAUUUCUAUACAUAUUAUUUAACUGACAUUUAUAUAUAUAUAUAAUGAAUCGAAUUGAACUUUAACUGGAUUAUUCUUAACUGUGUAUUUAUGAUUACAGUUGUGGUAAUCAGUUGGAUCUUUAAUUAAUUAAGAUUUUAUUUUUUCAACUGAUCCCCUCCCUUCUUUAACUUAAUCCAAGGGAAAAAGUCAGGGUCAAAGUCAAAUUGUUAACUCUUGCGAUUUCGUAUUACAGAUUAUUUUUAAUUAUAUCUAGUAAGUUUACAUUGUAAAAUCAUGAUUUUUUUUUAUUGAAUUGCUAAAAGAGAGAGCGACUGUAAAAAGGUCAAAUAAUAACUUUGUGAAUAAUCAUUCUAUUGUACCGAAUUAUUCAUAUAAUAAUUUGUUAAAAUAUUAAAAAAUUUGCAAACGGUCAUAGAAAACAACACAAUUGUAAGCAGUUGGCAGUUACCGUUUGAACAGUCUAAUAAGCAUUUUGUUUCUUUUUUUUUUUAUUUUUUCUAAAAUUUCUAAAAUAAUAAUAACAAUAAUGUGAAAUGGUCAACCAAUAACAUGAUUGUUGUCUUAUUUAAAUCGCAUUAACGUGCCUUCAUCAAACUUUGAUGCACCUCCCAGUUUGAAAAAUUACAUAAAUUUUUGUAGGAUCCUUGUGCACUGUUAGUCUAUGUCUGACUCCGCAUAAAUUAAAAUGAAACAUAAAUUAUGCAAAAUAAAUAAAUAAAUAAAUGGUUUUUAGUUUUUGAGUCCCUGUUGUUUGUUACAAUGAAGUCAGAAACCAGAAGUUUCAACAAUUGCCUUACUGAAGGGUUCACUUUUCCAUUUUUCUCCACUGAGGUCCUUUACCAAGUUCGACUCAUCGACCGUUAAAAAUUAUUGGUAACAAAGGCUUGAAGAUUAUUACUUAGUUAAACCAUAGGAUGAAAUAAUAUUUAUGUCCUCAAUUCUUAUUUAAAACCAUUUAACAACUUAGAAAACUUUAUCCAUAAUUGCAGCGAUAUACAUUCAGCAAACUAAUACUUCAUCAAUUUUCACAAUAGAUCCAGGCCAUCUCAUUUUACCCUUUUUAUGCUUAUUAAAUAUUAUGCAAAUAUAUGACUAGCUAGUUAGAACAAAUAUGAUCAAGUCUUGCCUAUGUGUCCGAAUCUCAUCUCCAAAGCUCCUUUGCUUAUAAUCAUCUAUCUAUAUACAUUUCAUUUUUCUUGAUUAGAUCUUAUCUCUUCGAGAGUUUGAUCAGUUGAUAGCAAUUUAAAAAAAAUUAAUUUUUUUAAUAUCUAAAAAUAAAUUUUUUAUGCUUCACAGAAGUAAAUACUAAUGGAGAGAACUCCUUUUGAUUCGGCUAAAAUGCCCUUAGUCCAUUUUUUUAUAUUUUAAAAUAACGGUAGAACUUGAUCAAAGUCCCAAAUAAAUAGUAAUUAAUAAUACAUCAAAAAGGACUUAAAAUUGGAUAUUCAUGAAAUCUCUGGUUUCUGAGUUCAUUUCAACAAAUAGUAAGGAUUCAACUAAUAAAAUCUCAAAACUAAAUAAAUAAAUUUAAGAAGGACAUGAAGUCAGAUUUUGUAGGCAGAUGGCAUAAAGAUGGAAUGGUGAAUGAAUAUUAAUAACAAAUACAAGACAUACAAAACUGGCAGAUUCUGAUGAAUCCCAAGGACACGGCUGAAUAGCUGAUCAGGCCAGUGGCAAUGCCAAUGGCGAAUACUUAGAUCUUCAAGUCAAAUAAAUAAGCAACAGUUGUUGUUUGACUGGCCAGCACAUGUUCAUAGGCAAUAUCCAAUUUCUAAGCCCUCCCCCGCGUUGUCCACACGAUAUGUACAAGUUUUUUUUGUAUAUUUACAAAGUUUUUACUUUGAAUUUGCAUAUGAGGAUAAGGUACAGUCUAUGAUCGAUGCACUUGCAUCUUGAAUUGUGCACCAGUUAUUCACUUUAAGGAACCGUUAGUUUUUUUUAUUAUCUCAAA
rnacentral:lncRNA from 1 species